rnacentral:rRNA from 1 species
GUCUACGGCCAUACCACCCUGAACGCGCCGAUCUCGUCUGAUCUCGGAAGCUAAGCAGGGUCGGGCCUGGUUACUACUUGGAUGGGAGACAUUGUAGGAGCUCAUCUGUUAAACA